GGAACACCUCCGAGGGGUGUUCACUUUUCUGUUUGAGAUAUUUGCCCAGGUGAAUUCUGCAACAGUUAAGGUUCCAGAUGUUGAUGCCAAAAAGUUUUCAAUCAAGGAGGAUAAUGCAUCUAUGAACUGUAUCUUCUAUGAAAUUGAUCACUGUCUACCAAAGCUUACCAGAGGAAAAAUAUACAGAAUUGUGGGAUCCUAUGACAGCCACCAAAAUUUGAUCAAAUGUGUGUCGAUCCGAGAGGCCAUGCAGGAGGAGCAUGUAGCUCAUCAGAAGAAUGUGGAGGUGUGUGCAGAGUAUAAACUGAAGCUCUCCAGUCUCGUCAGGGAGCAGUAAUUAAGUUACCGUUACACACCUUAUACUAAGAGUCUUGUCAAGGAGCAGUAAUUAAGUUACCACUGGUACACACUUUAUGCUAAGAGUUUAGUAUAAACUGAAGCUCUCCAGUCUUGUCAGGGAGCAGUAAUUAAGAUACCACCGUUACACACUUUAUACGAAGAGUCUUAUCAGGGAGCAGUGAUUAAGUUAACACCAGUACACACCUUAAACUAAGAGUUUAGUGUCAAAGCUUACAUGAACGUCGUUAUAAAGCAGCUGAUUGAAAAGAAAAAAGUGUUCGUUUAAAGUGUGCACAUUGUAAAUCAUUUCACAAGGAGAUGUGAUAUUAAGACCUGACUAUUGUUAUUUGUUAUCCAAAUAUUUGUUUUAUUUAGAGGUUUUAUUUAUUAGGAACUUUUUUUAAUUUAACAAUAAAACAAGAGGUCAUUGUUUUUAGGAAUCCUAAGACCAUUAAGAAU